UUCUACAUCCUAAUGAAAAAGAGGAAUAAAUAUACCAUAAAGUUUGUUAGCACUUAGCACUAUUUUUCCUGAUGUAUCCUUUGAAUACACCCUCGUACAUGACUCCUGAUGAUUUUUCGCAAAAAGAUGACGCGAUGCUAUCUGCUAAGAAUCAUAGUUUUGCUCUCAGUGGAGAAAUUAUGUUGCUGGUACCCACUAGCAUAUUGCUUGGGCUGCUAUUGGUUGCUUCAUUGGUUUUGAAGUUUUCAAAUGAAUUUGAGAUGCUGAUUUGACAAGAAUCACUGUAUGUAGGGGGUGGGCGUUCGAUAGUUAUGGAUUAAAUAUGAAAAUUUCGGUUUGGAUUUUUAAUUUUCGGAUUGAAGAAAUGACAAUCCAAAUCUCAUCCAAAUUAUAAGCUCGGAUUGGAUUGGAUUA